rnacentral:rRNA from 1 species
UACGAAGGGGGCUAGCGUUGCUCGGAAUCACUGGGCGUAAAGCGCACGUAGGCGGAUCUUUAAGUCAGGGGUGAAAUCCCAAGGCUCAACCUUGGAACUGCCUUUGAUACUGGGGAUCUCGAGUCCGGAAGAGGUUGGUGGAACUGCGAGUGUAGAGGUGAAAUUCGUAGAUAUUCGCAAGAACACCAGUGGCGAAGGCGGCCAACUGGUCCGGUACUGACGCUGAGGUGCGGAAAGCGUGGGGAGCAAACAGGG